ACACACGGGGAAAGUUUAUUCAACUGCAAAAACUUUGUCUUUGCAGGAGGGAAAUUUUGCUCUAAUUUCUCAAUGAUGGAAUAUCUUGUAGAGUCUCCACCAAUUUAACAUAGUUUGUGGGCACAAAAAUGAAGUUUCUGGAGCACAACUACUUUCAAGCUCCACUAAAAUAACUGGUUUGGGUCCUGGGGUACCGAAUUUCCAACAACCAGAUAAAACACAGAUGGGCUGAAGGUAAAAUCAGAGUCUUUAGUCUCAAUGGCCAGAGGGGAUGUCAGCAGAGACAGCACUCCAAAGAACUGACAUACCACAAUAGCAAAUACAUAGCAUAUUUAUUGUACAGCUAUUCAAGACUCUCGCGCCAGCUCCUGAUUGGUCCAGAAAGUGUCCAGCUAGGAUCCACUCUCUGGUUGGUUCAAGGCUUCAUCCGACAUCACCACUGGUUUGUUGUGGCAGGAAAACUGAAUAAUCUGGGAUUGGAUUACUUCGAGUGUGGGUCAGUUUAUUGGUCCACCCCCGAGAAGGGCAUGAUCAGAAAGGAAUGUGGUGAGGCAAGCGAUAAUGGGCUGAAAUAAGUCUUGAUAUCUCAGCUUUGGUUAAUACAAUGGAUGUCAGAUCAUGAGAACCAAAGGACACUUAAGGUGUUGGCUAUAUCAAUGGGUGUCACAAGAGUGGGUCUGGUUUGGUGGCAUAGAAGAGGAAGUGUUUCCAGAGAUCACUUAGAUAACCCAGAGGUUCUUACGCAAGCCCAUUGUAUGUCCCCCAGAGUCUCCUAGUGUAUUGUGAGGGAUUAUAAUAAUCGGGGAAUCAUUUACUGAAGUUCAGGGUGUGAUGAGACAACAUUUCAAGGACAUUCAUGAAAGGUUAUUAAGGUAAUGCAGAUGCGCUGUAUGUCACAAUGGAGCUGCCUCUCAUAAUGCAUAAUUUUGGGAUCUAAUUUUUAAUAACAUUAUCUCAUUAAAUUUUUGUGUGCGUC